rnacentral:rRNA from 1 species
GAGUUUGAUCAUGGCUCAGAUUGAACGCUGGCGGCAUGCCUUACACAUGCAAGUCGAACGGCAGCACGGGAGCUUGCUCCUGGUGGCGAGUGGCGAACGGGUGAGUAAUGCAUCGGAACGUAUCCUGGAGUGGGGGAUAACGUAGCGAAGGUUACGCUAAUACCGCAUAUUCUGUGAGCAGGAAAGCGGGGGACCUUCGGGCCUCGCGCUCUUGGAGCGGCCGAUGUCGGAUUAGCUAGUUGGUGAGGUAAAGGCUCACCAAGGCGACGAUCCGUAGCAGGUCUGAGAGGAUGAUCUGCCACACUGGAACUGAGACACGGUCCAGACUCCUACGGGAGGCAGCAGUGGGGAAUUUUGGACAAUGGGGGCAACCCUGAUCCAGCCAUGCCGCGUGAGUGAAGAAGGCCUCGG